UACAGAGGUGGCAAGCGUUGUUCGGAAUUACUAGGCGUAAAGGGCGCGUAGGCGGUCCUGUAAGUCUUGUGUGAAAUCCCUCGGCUUAACUGAGGAACUGCACGAGAUACUGCGAGACUUGAGUUCGGGAGAGGAAAGCGGAAUUCCGGGUGUAGCGGUGAAAUGCGUAGAUAUCCGGAGGAACACCGGUGGCGAAGGCGGCUUUCUGGACCGACACUGACGCUGAGGCGCGAAAGCUAGGGGAGCAAACGGG
rnacentral:rRNA from 1 species